rnacentral:rRNA from 1 species
GCAAGUCGAGCGCCCCGCAAGGGGAGCGGCAGACGGGUGGGUAACGCGUGGGAACAUACCCUUUGGUUCGGAAUAACUCAGGGAAACUUGAGCUAAUACCGGAUACGUCCGUAAGGAGAAAGAUUUAUCGCCAAAGGAUUGGCCCGCGUCCGAUUAGCUAGUUGGUGAGGUAACGGCUCACCAAGGCUACGAUCGGUAGCUGGUCUGAGAGGAUGAUCAGCCACAUUGGGACUGAGACACGGCCCAAACUCCUACGGGAGGCAGCAGAAGGG